rnacentral:RNase_P_RNA from 1 species
CGAGCCGGCCGGGCAGCCGCGACCGGUUCCGUCGUACGACGGAUGACCGGUCGAGGAAGGUCCGGACUCCGCAGGGCAAGGUGGUGGGCAACGCCCACCCGGGGUGACCCGCGGGAAAGUGCCACAGAGAACAGACCGCCGCCGGUCUCGAUCCGUCGAGACCGGGGGUAAGGGUGAAACGGUGGUGUAAGAGACCACCAGCGCUCCGGGCGACCGGGGCGGCUGGGUAAACCCCACCUGGAGCAAGACCAAGAAGGAUGUCAAGCCUCGGCUUGGCCUCCGCGCAGGCGACGAGUCCGGACCCCGGUCUCGAGAGGGCGGCCCGCCCGAGCCUGCGGGUAGGUCGCACGAGCGUCUCGGCAACGAGGCGCCUAGAUGGAUGGCUGCUCAGGGUCGGUCCGCAAGGACCCCCGGACAGAAUCCGGCCUACAGGCCGGCUCGCCCG